CAGAGCCCGCCAGCUGCUAAGCCAGGGCCACACCUGGGGGUGAUUUUAUGCCUCACCUCCAGUGGGCACCUUGGUCUCUUUGGGCUAAUCUCUGGCUCCUUUGCACUAACUCUUGCUCUCACCCAGCUAAUCCCUGUCUCGCCCUGGCUGCCCCAGAGGGCUGACCACUAACAGCCAACCCUACCCAUCUGGGGGCUCCAGCCUCCUGGCCUGGCUCUGACCUGCUCUGAAUUAACCCCUCCUUCACCUGACUAACUCCUACCCUCCUGAUCUGUUCCUUUCAGCGGAAACUAACGGCUUGUGGAUUUCUUUCUGACUAACAACAGGUCUAACCCGCCUCAGUCACUAUUACUAUUAACAGCUUGGAUGUCGGCAUGGCUGGG
rfam:Tursiops truncatus cont1.366350, whole genome shotgun sequence.